ACUUCCUUCGGGAAGUGCAUAAAGUGGCGCACGGGUGAGUAACACGUAAGUAAUCUACCUUCGAGUGGGGAAUAACGUCCGGAAACGGACGCUAAUACCGCAUAAUGCAGCGGCAUCGAAAGAUGACAGUUGUUAAAGGAGCAAUUCGCUUGAAGAGGAGCUUGCGGCAGAUUAGCUAGUUGGUAAGGUAAUGGCUUACCAAGGCUACGAUCUGUAACCGGUCUAAGAGGACGGUCGGUCACACUGACACUGAAUAACGGGUCAGACUCCUACGGGAGGCAGCAGUCGGGAAUUUUGGGCAAUGGGCGAAAGCCUGACCCAGCAACGCCGCGUGAAGGAUGAAGUAUUUCGGUAUGUAAACUUCGAAAGAAUAGGAAGAAUUAAUGACGGUACUAUUUAUAAGGUCCGGCUAACUACGUGCCAGCAGCCGCGGUAAUACGUAGGGACCAAGCGUUGUUCGGAUUUACUGGGCGUAAAGGGCGCGUAGGCGGCAUGACAAGUCACUUGUGAAAUCUCCGGGCUUAACUCGGAACGGUCAAGUGAUACUGUCGCGCUAGAGUGCGGAAGGGGCAAUCAGAAUUCUUGGUGUAGCGGUGAAUGCGUAGAUUUCAAGAGGAAUACCUGAGGUGAAGACGGGUUGCUAGGCCGACACUGACCCU
rnacentral:rRNA from 1 species